rnacentral:lncRNA from 1 species
CCCACUCCUACUCCUGCUCCUGAAUCAGCCUCUGCCCAGACCCUGAACCAGAUGCCACCACUGUUGCUGCUCCUACUGGGCUGCUGAUUGCUGGCCCUGAGAAGUUAGGAGUUCUUGGAGCCACUCUCUAGGAAACUGGGGAUCAUGGUCAAGUUUGAAAAGGAAAGGGAUCUCAUUUUUAGUGAACUGUUUGGAAAAGGCACCAUGAAGAUGCCUCUACAGACCACCUGCUGCACCAGAAGAUCCAGAGUGAACUUUGGGAUGUGGUGA